ensembl:lncRNA
UCAGCGCGCAUGGGACACCGGCUUUCUGACAUUUUUACAGCUCAGCGGUUCUCAAGAGUUUUGUUUCUCCAGUGGAAGUAACAGGCUGACUUUGUAGGGACGCGCAGCCGUCCGUAUAUGCGUAUAGUAUUCAGAGGUUCCUUCUGUAAGGACCGAUUUGGAAGACUCGUAAGGAAACAGUGUUCUUUAAGCAAACAUUGGCAAUGGAUUUAAAUGCUCAGAAUUUGAACAAAUCAACGACUGCAGGUGAAAUUAACUUGCUAACUGUAAAAUAUAUUAUUCGACAUUGAAACAGGAAAUCCCACAUGAGCACAUGCUGAUGAAGAAGAAUCCUCUCAUGAGACCAUUGGCAUGGACUGAAGGAGAGGCAGCAAGACCUCAGGAUCUUUCCUCAAGAGGACUAAGCCUCCCCAUCACUCAAGAGACCCUGGAUUCAAGAGCUGCCUAACAUCUAGAAACUUGGUAAGAGGUCAAGACUUUAAUGUAAUUUGAUUCAGAUUUCUAGCCACCAGACAUAGAGUUCUUACUGUUGUAUUGAUCAAGUGAUACUUCAGUAGGCUGACCAUUUAUUCCAAGAUGUAUCAUGAUCCAUAGUCUGCUAGGUUAAGACAUUUUGAUUAUAUUCCAGUACUUUCUGCUGUCAUUACAGUAAUUUCCUCUACCAUGUUUCUGUUAGUUAAGUGCUUCCACGUGGCCUGUAUCUCUUCUGAAUCCCAUCAUUUCCACUGUCUCAUUGGCAGCCUCUCUUACUGUCAUCUCACCAUCAUGGAGCUUCUCAAGGAUGCUUGCUCUCACUUCAUUAAUGCAUUUCUCAUGGAAUAAUGAACAGAGUGCCUUCUUAGCCUUCCGGAAGGAUAUAAUGGGGGAUGGAUGUGCAUAUUGCAAAUGAUAAAUGAGCUUCACAUUCUGUUCCUCUGAUCUAUGAGUACACUCCUCCGUGUCUAUGCCAAGGACAUUCUAACAGGUCAACUUUGUAGAACAUUGAGCCCAAAGUUCAAUCAGUCAGCCAAGCAAACUGUUAGAGCUGCUUCCAGCGGUGCUAGUUCACACACCUUAAACCCAGAAUCUCUUGUAAAUGCAUUCAUAUGAGUACAUUUGAUAUGAUCUAAUUUUAUGUCUUUCCUUUUCGAGUACCACUUGUCAAAUUCAUUUCUAACGUAUUUCCUAGGUUUUCUCUACAUACUUCCCAAUCUCUCUACAUAUUAGAAAAGUCUGGAAAUUCUUUCAGCAUAUGAGCUAUGUCUUCCUGGGUUAAACUUAACACUCAUCACCUUAGAGGAUCCUGAUAUUUGACUCCAGUUAUGAGUCUAGUCAUUCAGGAGUGGUCAGGGAGGGUCUUGAGGAUAGGAAUCUCUUUGCAAGGCAACUUCCCUGAGCUGUACAGGAUCUUUAAGCAAACCUUGUCUCCUCAGACACACAGGAGGGUAGACUAUUCUAUUUCUUCUUGCAAGAGAGGCUUGGAGAGACUUGGGAGUUACAACAUUUCAACUUUGUUCAGUUACACUUAGAGAACCCCAUUACAAGUCUCUGGUCUACUCCCUCUGAGUGUCAUAAAUAUAAGAUAGUAUGUCUUAUGACAAGUCUGUGAAUUCAACUGAAGUUAUCAUUUUGCAACCCAGACAACCAAAUUUUGGGCCUGAUUUUCAGUAAGUUUGACUCUAUAGCUAUAUAAAAAAAAUAGUAGAUUAUCUUAGGGCCAUCAUGGAUUCUCUGUAGUUCUUUGUGAUUUGAGAUGAUUUUUUUUUUUUUUUUUUGAGACAGAGUCUAAUUCUGUUGCCCAGGCUGGAGUGCAGUGGCCUGAUCUUGGUUCACUGCAGCCUCCACCUCCUGGUUCAAGCGAUUCUCUUGCCUCAGCCUCUCAAAUAGCUGGGAUUACAGGCACCUGCCACCAGGCCUGGCUAAUUUUUGUAUUUUUAGUAGAGAUAGGGUUUUGCCAUGUUGUCCAGGCUGCUCUCAAACUCCUGACCUCAAGUGAUCCACCUUCCUUGGCCUCCCAAAGUGCUGGGAUUACAGGUGUGAGCCAUCAUGCCCAUGUGGGAUGAAUCUUUAAAACCCUGGUUUUAAGCUGGGCGCAGUGAUGUACACCUGUAAUCCCAGCUACUCAGGAGGCUGAGGUGGAAGGAUUGCCUGAGCCCAGGAGUUUGAAGCCAGCCUGGACAACGUUGCAAGACUCCAUUAAAAAAGAAAACAAAAAAUCAAACCAAAACAAAAAAAAACACUAACUCUGAUUUUUUUUUCUGUAUUCUCUUUAGUGUAGUCAGAAGCAGCUAAUCCACCCCACAGUUCUUACAGUCUUUAUUACUACCAUAGCCACUUGGUCUUUCAAGCCACUUGUUUCAGUAAAACGUAGACACUUCACACAAACAACUACAGGUGAUAAUUUUGUUCCUCAUAUGCCCUGCAUAUCCGCAAACCACUAGGUUCCAAUUUCCAAUUAACAAAGAGUUCAGUACUGCUUUCAAAGUUGAAGACAUAACCAAACAAUCCUAAAUCCCAUUUUUUGAGAGUUUAUUUCCUGGGAGUACUCUGUCACCAGGUACCACAUUGGUUAGGGUGUACUCAGGAAACAGAAACCACACUAGUCAUUUCAGCAGAGAGAAUGUAAUAUAAGAAAUGUGUUAUGGGCUAAGCGCGGUGGCUCAUGCCUGUAAUUCCAGCACUUUGGGAGGCCGAGGCAGAUGAAUCACUUGAGGUCAGGAGUUCGAGACCAGCCUGGCCAACAUGGCAAAAUGUAUUUUUAUUUUACACACACACACACACAAAGAAAUUAGCUGGGUAUGGUGGCUUGCACCUGUGGUCCCAGCAACUUAGGAGAUUGAGGCAGAGGAUCACCUGAGCCCAGGAGGCAGAGGUUGCAGUGCCACUGCACUCCAGCCUGGGUGACAGAGCGAGACUCCAUCUCAAAAAAAUUUUUAAAAAAUAAAAAAAAAAAAAA